UACAUUCUUUUGCUGUUUCGCUGUUGCUGAAUGAAUGACUGAAUGAAAGCAUCUCCCAAGGCUGCCUGCUUGCUUACCUUCUCACAUGAUGCUUCUUUGCCUCUCUGUUCCUUAAGGAGCUUUCCCUCCCUUCUUUCUUGCCCCACAGUCCCCAAACUCACCAGUGUGGGCAGAAGGAGAAAAGGAAUGUUCUAUCCAGCCCCAUACCCCAGCACCUGCUGGGCAACUUUGUCUUCCCUUCUGCAAAAGAAAAGAAGUCCCCUCAAACACAGGAGAGGAUGGGAAAAGGCAUCUCUCUAAGCAGUAACCCUGGCAGGGCCCUUCAGGAUUCCCAAAUUCCCAAUUUAUAGACAGGGAAACUGAUCCCUAGAGAAGGGAAGGGACUUGCCCAUGUCCACACAGCAUGUUAGUGGGACACAUCAUGAAACAUAAAAGCAGGAAGAGGGUCUAGAAACCAUCUAGCCCUACCCCCUCAUUUAGAGAAAGGAAAACCGAGGCCCAGAGAGGGAGAGUUAGUGACAGAGCCACAACAAGAACUCAGAAGAGGGUCAGCUGGUGUGCAACCAGCUCAGUGACACAAAAGCCUGUGCUAGGGAUUUAAUGUUCUACUGUCGUGUCUUGAAAUUCUUCAUAUCUUAUCUGUAAAUGUGUAGUUUGUAAAUGAAGUCUGUGAGAUAACACAGCAGGCACCCAGGCCAACAGCCUCAGUUCAAGUGCAGUCCGGCCCCUCCCUCACCAGGUGGGUUCUCAGUGCCAGCUUCCCCAACCCCCUGCUAUCUCCUCCUCACAUCCCUUCUUCUCUCUCUUCCCCCCAACAGCUGCCAGUCUGCUAUCUGCAGGGCACUGGCACGGGAGGCUGAGCAUGCACAUCCCACAGCAUUUGGGUAGGACACGACUGCAGCCAUGCCUGCCCUAGAGGUUGAUGACAUCGUGGUGCCUUCAAGGGGGGAAACUGGCAGGGCAAGCCUUUCCCCUAUGCUAGAGCCUCUGACAUGGAGGUUGCAAGAUGUGGGGGUACCUGUCCACCAUGGAUUGGGGUGAAGGGCCUGUGGGAAAGGAGGAUGCCUGGCUUCCCUUCUCCGGGUCCUCUUGCCUCAGUGUAGGGGACCUGGCAGCAGAUGGGCACUGGUGGGCCACACUGCAGGGGAAGGCUCCUGGGUGCCUUGAGGGCCUCCGUGCUCCUCUCCAGUAGCUCCAUGCCCAAGGUAGCAUAGCAUUAAAUAGCAAAUACACAGCACAAGAGGGGCCACAGAAGUGGGGUGGGGCUUUAUGUUUGGGUACCUCUCUCCUGCCUGUGGAACAAAAGGCUUGUGUUUGCAAUGUGCCCUGGGCUGUCACAUUAGGUAGCUGUCCUGACUCAGGACUUCUGUUGCUCUGGCCACCAGCCCCCAGCACUCAGCACCGCUGGACAACACCGGUGUAUUCACGUUCAGUCUAGUGCGUUCCCGGCCCUGUGCUGGGCCUCUUUUCCCUGUUUUCUUGUUUGCAGCCUUGUCGUAACUGAGUGAGGUGUGCACUAUUAUUAGACUCAUUUUACAGGUGAGGAAAGACAGCUGCCCAUAGGCUGAGUUAACUUGUCCACGUCCUCCACCAGGGAAGCAAGAGAGCCAAGCUCCCCACCCAGGUGGCCUGGUGCUCCUGUCCUGGCCCGACAUGCGGGCAGUCGGGCCGUCGGGAAAGGAAAGCGCAGUGUAGAGGAGCUGCUUCUCACCGCCUCUCCUCCCCUCCCCACCUUCCCCGGGAACUCAUGCCCCUCCCCUGCACUCCUGCUCCUUGCCGGCUCGCCCUGGGCCGCUCCGAAGGGAGGAGACCACGUGACCCAGGUCACCGGUAACCAGGCAACCGUUCCAAGACACUGCUUUUCAUCCACUCUGGCUUCUACCUUAUUCAAUAUCUGCCAGGCGGGCAAGGCUCCUGGGAGCAUCCCUGAAGCCAUUUCUCUGGGCCAGGAGCCAGCUGUUCCCAAAAUGGCCACGAUGCCUCAGGAGGGAGGUUGACACCCUGUGCUCUCAGAAGCAGCUCAGAGCUCAGAGGCAGACCUCUACUCAUGCAAUUCUGCCUUCUGUGCAUGCAAUGGAUUGCUGCCAUCUCCAAUCAGCCACAAUGGGAGGCCACCUGCUAGACAUGGAAGAGCCACCGGAUGGAAGAAGCCUGGGUCUCUGAAAUACUGCUUGGAGUAGACUACUCUGCCUGCAAACUAGGAGCACUGAUUUUGGACUUUUUGGGAGGGACUUCUAUGCCCUCUGCAGUUUGCCUCUUCCUCUGCUAUUUUUUCAUGUAUGUGUAUGUUUUUUGCCUGUAUUUGCAAUGCCAGCCAUCAUUUGCCAUGUCUUCUAGCGGCAACCUGCAUUUAGCCCAGAUCUGCUGUGAUUAUUCCUUUUCACAAACCACAAUGACUCUGGAAAACCUGGCUGUAAACACCAGCACUGCCACCAGCUAAGGAUCUGUGAUCAGGAGUGCCAUCUCACGGUAACAGGGGUGAAGAUAAGCUUGUGCAGGCCACUGGCUAACACAGUUCAUCCCAUGCCUCCUACAUACCAAGCACUGUGCCAGGCACUUUUCACGUCUGGCAUCCUCAGAAUCCUCCAAAAGGAGAGGUUCGUGGAGGAUAAUGCUGUCAGGCUUGGAAGCAGCAGUAGAGAUCACGUUGCCCAGCUCUUGGCAUCAUUGGUUCCCAAAGCUCUGAAUCCCCUGGAGAGCUUUUGUAAAAGGUCGGAUUCAGACAAUCCGGUGGAGCACUCUGAAAUUUAGAGGAAGUGGUCAAAUAGAAUUUUCUGGAAUUAUGGAAAUCUUCUAUUCUGUGCAUCUAGUAUAGUAGAAUCUAGUCACAUGUGGCUUUUGAGAACUGGAAAUAUGGCUAAUGCAACAGAGAAAGUGAAUUUUUACUUUUGAUUCAUUUAAAUAUAAAUGGUCACAUAUGACAUCACUGCCAUAUUGGACAUUGCAGUUCUGGAAGAUGGCAGAUGCAGCCCUCAGAAGAAUUAUCAGCCUGAAUGUCUGGGCGGAGCAGAGCACUACCUUCCCACUCACUCUUCCCCUCCUCUCGCCCCCUCCCCUGCCUCACUUGCAUCAGAUUAUGAUGUGAGCAAAAGCAGGAAACAGCUCUUUUGAUAGGCCUGUGAGACUUGCUGUUCGUUGGAGUAGCUAGGCUGCUCUGACUCAUACAGACCCAAAUCCUGGCAACCACUUUUAUGAAGAAAUGACAAUUCAGUCUACUACUUGUCCAUUUUACAUGCCCAAGGAAUGUGAGGGGCCUCUGCUUGGAUCUAGUUUUCAACCUAGUCUAUGGCAUUGAUUAUCCUUUUAAAAGACAAAAGAGGUGACUUCACGGGCACUUAACAUCUUGGCCAUACUGACCCCAGUUGCACGCUACGUAGGAAGUUUUAGUCCAUUUAAACUGAAGUUCCAAUUUUUUUUUUAACAACUAUUUAAAAAUUGUACAUGUCCCAUACAUGACAGAGAAAGGGUUGUCUGGUUGGAUGAUUUUUGGCUUGCAAAAAGAGAACACAAAAGAAAAGCAUACGUUUUAAUACUCAAGAGACCAAAUUUUCUGCUGAAGAGGAAAUGAACUACAUAUCCAGAAGGGUCCUACCAAGAGGCCAAACAGACUGUGUUCUCUUGGGGGAGUUCUCAGUGGUGAUGAGAACACCACUUUUUUUUUUUUUUUAGUCAUUUUCAAGGUGAGAUAUUGACUUGCUGCUGGAGCAGGACAACUGGUCUCUCUUUCAUUGCUAGCAGCAGAGUAAGGGUCUUGCAAGUUUCAGGCAGCAGCAGAGAAAGGGUCUUGCAAGUUUCAGUCCAAAGCAAGAAGAGCUAGGAUUGCACCAGCUGUCUCACCUACUCUGUGCUCACCUGUUUCUGGAUGAAGCACGGUGACAUCUGUUUUAUUGUAAAGAGAACCAACUUUGGAAUCAAAUGGAACCUGUAUUAAAAUCCUGAAUCCGUCACUAGCUUGGACAAGUCA
rnacentral:lncRNA from 1 species